AACGAACGCUGGCGGCAUGCCUAACACAUGCAAGUCGAACGAGACCUUCGGGUCUAGUGGCGCACGGGUGCGUAACGCGUGGGAACCUGCCUUUAGGUUCGGAAUAACUCAGAGAAAUUUGAGCUAAUACCGGAUGAUGUCUUCGGCCCAAAGAUUUAUCGCCUUUAGAUGGGCCCGCGUUGGAUUAGCUUGUUGGUGGGGUAAAGGCCUACCAAGGCCACGAUCCAUAGCUGGUCUGAGAGGAUGAUCAGCCACACUGGGACUGGGACGCGGCCCGGACUCCUACGGGAGGCAGCAGUGGGGAAUAUUGGACAAUGGGCGAAAGGCUGAUCCAGCAAGGCCGCGUGAGUGAUGAAGGCCGUAGGGUUGUAAAGCUCUUUUACCCGAGAUGAUAAUGACAGUAUCGGGAGAAUAAGCUCCGGCUAACUCCGUG
rnacentral:rRNA from 1 species